GUGCCAGCCGCCGCGGUAAUACCGGCAGCCCGAGUGAUGGCCGAUCUUAUUGGGCCUAAAGCGUCCGUAGCUGGCUGCGCAAGUCCGUCGGGAAAUCCACUCGCCCAACGAGUGGGCGUCCGGCGGAAACUGCACGGCUUGGGACCGGAAGGCUCGAGAGGUACGUCCGGGGUAGGAGUGAAAUCCCGUAAUCCCGAACGGACCACCGAUGGCGAAAGCAUCUCGAGAAAACGGAUCCGACAGUGAGGGACGAAAGCCAGGGUCUCCAACCGGAUUAGAAACCCUUGUAUCC
rnacentral:rRNA from 1 species